AGUGAACGCUGGCGGUAGGCCUAACACAUGCAAGUCGAACGGCAGCACAGUAAGAGCUUGCUCUUACGGGUGGCGAGUGGCGGACGGGUGAGGAAUACAUCGGAAUCUACUUUUUCGUGGGGGAUAACGUAGGGAAACUUACGCUAAUACCGCAUACGACCUACGGGUGAAAGCAGGGGACCUUCGGACCUUGCGCGAUUGAAUGAGCCGAUGUCGGAUUAGCUAGUUGGCGGGGUAAAGGCCCACCAAGGCGACGAUCCGUAGCCGGUCUGAGAGGAUGAUCAGCCACACUGGAACUGAGACACGGUCCAGACUCCUACGGGAGGCAGCAGUGGGGAAUAUUGGACAAUGGGCGCAAGCCUGAUCCAGCCAUACCGCGUGGGUGAAGAAGGCCUUCGGGUUGUAAAGCCCUUUUGUUGGGAAAGAAAAGCAGCAGGUUAAUACCCCGCUGUUCUGACGGUACCCAAAGAAUAAGCACCGGCUAACUUCGUG
rnacentral:rRNA from 1 species